rnacentral:rRNA from 1 species
GACGAACGCUGGCGGCGUGCCUAAUACAUGCAAGUAGAACGCACAGUUUAUACCGUAGCUUGCUACACCAUAAACUGUGAGUUGCGAACGGGUGAGUAACGCGUAGGUAACCUGCCUGGUAGCGGGGGAUAACUAUUGGAAACGAUAGCUAAUACCGCAUAAUAUUGAUUAUUGCAUGGUAAUUGAUUGAAAGAUGCUAUUGCAUCACUACCAGCUGGACCUGCGUUGUAUUAGCUAGUAGGUGAGGUAACGGCUCACCUAGGCGACGAUACAUAGCCGACCUGGGAGGGUGAUCGGCCACACUGGGACUGGGACACGGCCCAGACCCCUACGGGAGGCAGCAGGAGGGAAUCUUCGGCAAAGGACGGAAGUCUGACCGAGCAACGCCGCGUGAGUGAAGAAGGUUUUCGGAUCGGAAAGCUCGGUUGUAAGAGAAGAACGGGUGUGAGAGUGGAAAGUUCACACUGUGACGGUAUCUUACCAGAAAGGGACGGCUAACUACGUG